GACGAACGCUGGCGGCGUGCCUAAUACAUGCAAGUCGAACGCUGAAGGAGGAGCUUGCUUCUCUGGAUGAGUUGCGAACGGGUGAGUAACGCGUAGGUAACCUGCCUGGUAGCGGGGGAUAACUAUUGGAAACGAUAGCUAAUACCGCAUAAGAGUAGAUGUUGCAUGACAUUUGCUUAAAAGGUGCAAUUGCCUCACUACCAGAUGGACCUGCGUUGUAUUAGCUAGUUGGUGGGGUAACGGCUUACCAAGGCGACGAUACAUAGCCGACCUGAGAGGGUGAUCGGCCACACUGGGACUGAGACACGGCCCAGACUCCUACGGGAGGCAGCAGUAGGGAAUCUUCGGCAAUGGACGGAAGUCUGACCGAGCAACGCCGCGGGAGUGAAGAAGGGUGUCGGAUCGUAAAGCUCUGUUGUAAGAGAAGAACGAGUGUGAGAGUGGAAAGUUCACACUGUGACGGUAGCUUACCAGAAAGGGACGGCUAACUACGUG
rnacentral:rRNA from 1 species